rnacentral:rRNA from 1 species
GCGCAUGGUGGAUGCCUUGGCAUCAGGAGCCGAUGAAGGACGUUGGAGCCUGCGAUAAGCCUCGGGGAGUUGGCAACCGAAUGUUGAUCCGAGGAUUUCCGAAUGGGGGAACCCGGCCGCCGUCAUGGGUGGUCACCCGCAUCUGAAUGUAUAGGGUGCGUGGAGGGAACGUGGGGAAGUGAAACAUCUCAGUACCCACAGGAAGAGAAAACAAACAGUGAUUCCGUGAGUAGUGGCGAGCGAAAGCGGAUGAGGCUAAACCGUGUCUGUGUGAUACCUGGUAGGGGUUGCAGGUGCGGGGUUGUGGGAGUUCACCGGAGCCGGCUACCGACGGUUCGAGGAGUAAGAAAGUCGUGCUGUAGUCGAAGGGCCUGGGAUGGUCCGGCGUAGUGGGUGAGACCCCCGUAGACGAAACAGUGUGGCCUCCUUGGGUGGGUGUCCCGAGUAGCACGGGGCUCGUGAAAUCUCGUGUGAAUCUGCCAGGACCACCUGGUAAGCCUAAAUACUUCCUGAUGACCGAUAGCGGACAAGUACCGUGAGGGAAUGGUGAAAAGCACCCCGGGAGGGGAGUGAAAUAGUACCUGAAACCGUGUGCCUACAAUCCGUCGGAGCAGGCUUGUACCUGUGACGGCGUGCCUUUUGAAGAAUGAGCCUGCGAGUUAGUGGUGUGUGGCGAGGUUAACCCGGGUGGGGAAGCCGUAGCGAAAGCGAGUCCGAAUAGGGCGUUUGAGUCGCAUGCUCUAGACCCGAAGCGGAGUGAUCUACCCAUGGCCAGGUUGAAGCGCGGGUAAGACCGCGUGGAGGACCGAACCCACCAGGGUUAAAAACCUGGGGGAUGAGCUGUGGGUAGGGGUGAAAGGCCAAUCAAACUUCGUGAUAGCUGGUUCUCUCCGAAAUGCAUUUAGGUGCAGCGUCACGUGUUUCUUGCCGGAGGUAGAGCUACUGGAUGGCUAAUGGGCCCCACCGGGUUACUGACGUCAGCCAAACUCCGAAUGCCGGUAAGUGAGAGCGUGGCAGUGAGACUGCGGGGGAUAAGCUUCGUAGUCGAGAGGGAAACAGCCCAGAUCAUCAGCUAAGGCCCCUAAGCGUGUGCUAAGUGGGAAAGGAUGUGGAGUUGCGCAGACAACCAGGAGGUUGGCUUAGAAGCAGCCACCCUUGAAAGAGUGCGUAAUAGCUCACUGGUCAAGUGAUUCCGCGCCGACAAUGUAGCGGGGCUCAAGCGGUCCGCCGAAGCUGUGACAUCCACGCGUGAUGUGUGGGUGGGUAGGGGAGCGUCGUGUGUUCGGUGAAGCCCGGGGGUGACCCCUGGUGGAGGGCACGCGAGUGAGAAUGCAGGCAUGAGUAGCGAAUGACGGGUGGGAAACCCGUCCGCCGAUUAUCCAAGGGUUCCAGGGUCAAGUUUGUCUGCCCUGGGUGAGUCGGGUCCUAAGGCGA